rnacentral:rRNA from 1 species
UACGUAGGGUGCAAGCGUUGUCCGGAAUUAUUGGGCGUAAAGAGCUCGUAGGCGGUUUGUCGCGUCUGCUGUGAAAACCGGAGGCUCAACCUCCGGCCUGCAGUGGGUACGGGCAGACUAGAGUGCGGUAGGGGAGAUUGGAAUUCCUGGUGUAGCGGUGGAAUGCGCAGAUAUCAGGAGGAACACCGGUGGCGAAGGCGGUGGUCUGGGCCGGCACUGACGCUGAGGAGCGAAAGCGUGGGGAGCGAACAGG